rnacentral:rRNA from 1 species
UAAUACGUAGGGUCCGAGCGUUGUCCGGAAUUAUUGGGCGUAAAGAGCUCGUAGGCGGUCUGUCGCGUCGGCUGUGAAAACACGGGGCUCAACUCCGUGCCUGCAGUCGAUACGGGCAGACUAGAGUUCGGUAGGGGAGACUGGAAUUCCUGGUGUAGCGGUGAAAUGCGCAGAUAUCAGGAGGAACACCGGUGGCGAAGGCGGGUCUCUGGGCCGAAACUGACGCUGAGGAGCGAAAGCGUGGGGAGCGAACAGGAUUAGAUACCCUGGUAGUCCACGCCGUAAACGUUGGGCGCUAGGUGUGGGGGGUUAUCCACUCCCUCCGUGCCGCAGCUAACGCAUUAAGCGCCCCGCCUGGGGAGUACGGCCGCAAGGCUA